rnacentral:lncRNA from 1 species
GGGAGGCGGCUGGUGUUCCGCGGCACCGCCGCCAGGCCGCACCCCCUUCGCCCCCGAGGCGCGGCCCUGGGGACCCGGAGCCCCCCACCGCCGACCGCCAACCGACCGGGCGCCCGCACCUGCGGCCCUCAGCGGGAGCCGCGCUCAGUCCCGCAGGGGAGCAGCAGCGGGUCAAACCUCACCCAGGAACGGCGCGGCCCUGCACGCCCGGGGCUCCCAGCGCGGCUUCGCGGUGCGGCAGGACGGAGCCCGCGGUCGGUCGGAGGCACCGGGAAGCGGGCGGCCCGCUGUGCUGUUGCAUCGUUUCAGACCAAAAAGUAGUACAGAAACGGUCCAGCCCACCCGCAACGGCUGACCCCCGGGCCGAAGCCCCGCAGAGCUGGGGACAGGCCCAGAGAGGGGUCCUCGGACACCGAGGAAGGUGCUCUGGCUUCUGACGCUCCCUCUAGGACUUGAGAAGCGACCUCCCUCAGGUUUCCUCUCCCUUCUCCAUCACUGCAAUGAGAACGUCAGGUGGCCCUUGCGUAGAGAAGUAUUUUUUUCUCCUGGAGCAGACAAAUGGCUCCGGGACAAGGCUGAAGUAGGAAGUGGCAGGAGACAGGAGAGCUUUUGCCUGGUGAUCAUCAGGACGCGGGAGAUCAAGGUGCUGUCACCGGCUCGGGCAAGUCCUGGAGACGCCACAGGGCUUCUCGUACGUUUGUAGCAAAAGACUGGAAACCAUGCGAUGGCCCAUCCGGAGAAGACUCAGGUGAACAUUUUCUUCUCGUUUACUCACAGGCUACAUCUCUCAGCACGAGAACGGCUGAAGGCAAGCUCCACAGGGAAGAUGAAAAAUCUUACCCAUUUGGACUGCAGACAAGACCCGCGGGGCCAAAGCAGAGGGAGACACAGAAGGCUCGAAGGGACAGCCAGCCUGCUGGAAAGGCCGCUCGCAAUGGACGCUAGUGGCUGCGCCCAGGCCUGGAUGGAAGAAGGCUCUGGCUGCCAAAUGUUGUCUCUUCUGGUUCCACGCCGUCUCUCAGGAUGA